AGCUACUAAGGUAAGAAGAGCCAAGUGGAAGCCUAUGGAGCUCCCUCCAGCUAUCAAAUUAAUAGUGUGGAAGUGUCACAAUUUCUAUGGAGAAAUGUCUAAAGUUAAUGCUAUGCCCCACCCCCCC